AAGCCGUGAUGAGGACACUUGCGAAGAAUGUCCUUAAAUCGUUCAUGGGAUUCAAAGAGUGUCUCCGUAUCACCUUGCCUAAAAGAUGAUAUCUCUUGUCUCAGUCU